CCGUGGCGCAAUGAAGGUGAAGGGCCCGU
rnacentral:piRNA from 1 species